rnacentral:rRNA from 1 species
ACACCAUGGGAGUGGGCUGCAAAAGAAGUGGGUAGUUUAACCUUUCGAGGAGGACGCUCACCACUUUGUGGUUCAUGACUGGGGUGAAGUCGUAACAAGGUAGCGCUAGGGGAACCUGGCGCUGGAUCACCUCCUUAUACGAUGAU